AGUGUGUGUAGUUUUAGUUUCGGUUUAUGUCUACUUUCAUUUUGGCGGACGUUACGUGUACAGUAGACCUCAGCAUUUGAUUUGACGCCACAUUAAGUUUAAUUAUUUGUUACUUUUGUUUUGAUUAUGUCGUUACUUAUUGUUCACAUUCCAAAGACGUAUUGUGUAUAUCUAUCUGCUGUUCUAUGUAUAUUGAUAUUUUUAAAAGAUUUAUGUUUAUAAGCAAAAACAGUUAAGUGUAUUUAUCAUCAUUUUAAUCAUAAAAGAUGUGUUUUUUGCAAUUUGUGCUGUAUAAUGCAUUAGAUAAAAUUUUGCCCAUUUGUCAAAAUGACGUAUUGGUAUGUUGUAUUGUUUAGUAAUAAAUAUUGCAGACUAU
rnacentral:misc_RNA from 1 species